rnacentral:rRNA from 1 species
CGGAAGGAUCAUUACCGAGUGCGGCGCCUCGUGGCCCGACCUCCCACCGUUGUCUCUAUACACCUGUUGCUUUGGCGGGCCCACCGGGGCCACCUGGUCGCCGGGGGACAUCUGUCCCCGGGCCCGCGCCCGCCGAAGCGCUCUGUGAACCCUGAUGAAGAUGGGCUGUCUGAGUACUAUGAAAAUUGUCAAAACUUUCAACAAUGGAUCUCUUGGUUCCGGCAUCGAUGAAGAACGCAGCGAAAUGCGAUAAGUAAUGUGAAUUGCAGAAUUCCGUGAAUCAUCGAAUCUUUGAACGCACAUUGCGCCCCCUGGCAUUCCGGGGGGCAUGCCUGUCCGAGCGUCAUUUCUGCCCUCAAGCACGGCUUGUGUGUUGGGUGCGGUCCCCCCGGGGACCUGCCCGAAAGGCAGCGGCGACGUCCGUCUGGUCCUCGAGCGUAUGGGGCUUUGUCACCUCGACUCUGGGAAAGGACUGGCCGGAAGGUUCGGUCCAUCAACCAAAACUUUUACCACGGGUUGGACCUCGGAAUCAGGUAC